rnacentral:rRNA from 1 species
UACGUAGGGCGCAAGCGUUAUCCGGAAUUAUUGGGCGUAAAGAGCUCGUAGGCGGUUUGUCGCGUCUGCCGUGAAAGUCCGGGGCUCAACUCCGGAUCUGCGGUGGGUACGGGCAGACUAGAGUGAUGUAGGGGAGACUGGAAUUCCUGGUGUAGCGGUGAAAUGCGCAGAUAUCAGGAGGAGCACCGGUGGCGAAGGCGGGUCUCUGGGCAACAACUGACGCUGAGGAGCGGAAGCGUGGGGAGCGAACAGG